rnacentral:rRNA from 1 species
ACGGGUGCGGAACACGUACGCAACCUUCCUUUAAGUGGGGGAUAGCUUCCGGAAACGGAAAUUAAUACCCCAUAAAAUUGUUGGAUGGCAUCAUUUGACAAUUAAAGCUCCGGCGCUUAAAGAUGGGCGCGCGACUGAUUAGGUAGUUGGCGGGGUAACGGCCCACCAAGCCUACGAUCAGUAACUGGUGUGAGAGCACGACCAGUCACACGGGCACUGAGACACGGGCCCGACUCCUACGGGAGGCAGCAGUAAGGAAUAUUGGUCAAUGGACGCAAGUCUGAACCAGCCAUGCCGCGUGGAGGAUGAAGGUCCUCUGGAUUGUAAACUUCUUUUAUCUGAGAAGAAACCCCUGAAUUCUUUUAGGGUUGACGGUACCAGAUGAAUAAGCACCGGCUAACUCCGUGCCAGCAGCCGCGGUAAUACGGAGGGUGCAAGCGUUAUCCGGAUUCACUGGGUUUAAAGGGUGCGUAGGUGGGUUGGUAAGUCCGUGGUGAAAUCUCCGAGCUUAACUCGGAAACUGCCGUGGAUACUAUCAAUCUUGAAUAUCGUUGAGGUAAGCGGAAUAUGUCAUGUAGCGGU